GACGAACGCUGGCGGCGUGCUUAACACAUGCAAGUCGAACGGAAAGGCCCUGCUUUUGUGGGGUGCUCGAGUGGCGAACGGGUGAGUAACACGUGAGUAACCUGCCCUUGACUUUGGGAUAACUUCAGGAAACUGGGGCUAAUACCGGAUAGGAGCUCCUGCUGCAUGGUGGGGGUUGGAAAGUUUCGGCGGUUGGGGAUGGACUCGCGGCUUAUCAGCUUGUUGGUGGGGUAGUGGCUUACCAAGGCUUUGACGGGUAGCCGGCCUGAGAGGGUGACCGGCCACAUUGGGACGGAGAUACGGCCCAGACUCCUACGGGAGGCAGCAGAGGAGAAUAUUGCACAAUGGGAGGAAGCCUGAUGCAGCAAAGCCGCGUGCGGGAUGACGGCCUUCGGGUUGUAAACCGCUUUCGCCUGUGACGAAGCGUGAGUGACGGUAAUGGGUAAAGAAGCACCGGCUAACUACGUG
rnacentral:rRNA from 1 species